AACCAGUACUUCCUAAAACAUCUGAGUC
rnacentral:piRNA from 1 species